UACGUAGGGUGCAAGCGUUAAUCGGAAUUACUGGGCGUAAAGCGUGCGCAGGCGGUGAUGUAAGACAGAUGUGAAAUCCCCGGGCUCAACCUGGGAACUGCAUUUGUGACUGCAUCGCUGGAGUGCGGCAGAGGGGGGUGGAAUUCCGCGUGUAGCAGUGAAAUGCGUAGAGAUGCGGAGGAACACCGAUGGCGAAGGCAGCCCCCUGGGCUAGCACUGACGCUCAGGCACGAAAGCGUGGGGAGCAAACAGG
rnacentral:rRNA from 1 species